AACGAAAGCAAGUCAUUGCUAGAGUAUGGGAUUUGCUUCUUAGAAGCUUCAGAUAUGUGUUCAGAAGCUCAUGCAAAGAGGAGUUCGAUAAGAACCUGAGGGUAAAGAAGAAUAGCCAAAUAAAUUAUUGGGAAUGGUUCCUGAAUGCUCCUGUUUUCCUUCCAGAAUGGUGCUUCCUCAAGCCUGACUUUAAUUGCAGUUUGACAUGCUGGUUUUUCCCAUUGACAAUUCAAUGAUCGAGACAAUAUAUAGGUUGAAAAAGAGGAUGAGAAGAGCCACCCAACCUCAUCUGAAAAGGUCAAGUACAUAUUAUUGCACCGUCGGUCAAUAUUGUGAGCUGCGAGCAUCAUGGCAACUUUUUUUUUUUGUCGGCGGACUUCUGAAUUUUGAUAGAGUUGAUAAAUCCAAGAGGUUCAGUAAGUUUAUUUCAGAUAUAUGUACAGGUGAAGUAGUACAUAUUAUUGCACCGUUGGUCAACAUUGUGGGCGGUGAUCAUCAUGGUAACUUUUUUUUUUCGCCCGCACCGACUUUUGAAUUCUGAUACAGCUUAAGCUGAUAAAUUCAAGAAGUUCAGUCAGUUUAUUUCUGAUAUAUGUACAUGUCAAGUAUAAUUUAUCAUUUCAGAUUUCAAAGACAAGUAGAGAAGUGUGUCCAUCAAAUCAGUCUCUCUGCUAGGCAGGCUGACAGCUGUAUCAACUAGCAGACUUGUCUGGUCAAGGAGUAUCCAUCAGAACGGUUCCUCUCAAGCUUUUGAGUUGAAUUGUCCCAUUCGUUCUCAUGCAAGUCAAGAUACUUGUUUAGCCUGAACACUGCAAGAGAUAAACACAGCGACCCGGUUUCAGUUCAUUUUCUACCGGAUAAUACUCGGUCUAGAUCAUUGCUCAGCUAUCUGUCCAACAAAAACAACUUAGUCCAAAAUCCUUUGGCGAUGCAAUUUCUUUAUAAUACGCCGAAAUGGUCAAGCAUAUUCCUUUGUUGUGGGAGCUGAAAGAAAUCAAG